UGAGCAAUCUGCCCUUCUCAUCGGAAUAAGCGUUGGAAACGACGUCUAAUGCCGAAUACGACCUCCUUUCGCAUGAUCGGAGGUGGAAAGCUCCGGCGGAGAAGGA
rnacentral:rRNA from 1 species